rnacentral:lncRNA from 1 species
GGCUUCAGAGCCCACAGGAAGCCAGACAGGUGCCCUCUCGAGUUGGAAGGACAAAGGGACUGAUACUUAAGCCACAUUUCAAACCAUGAAUGCAGAGCCUGGUUGGAGCCGUCUGUGGUGGCAGGACAAGGAGAGAGAGACACCUCCGGGGAAUCUGCAGAAGCUCCAUGUGAGGCAGAGUAAACGUUCUGGCAGGCCUCACUCCUGGGCCUUGGCCCCAGACCGCCUAACCCACCAAGUGCUGGACUGGGGCUUGCUACCCUUCACCACUCCCCCGUCCCUGUUCCAAGUCUGGGGGUGCCAGAACAGUUCUGGAGCAUGGACACCUCCUCUCAGGGCUCUGGCUUCCAGAUCUUCCUGCAGCUGUGUGAUGCCCCAGGCUCCACACCACCCUGCCAACCUUCCAUUCUUUCCUCUCCAUCAGCCACACCCAAGGGGCCUCAUCCUGGCAGGUAACUAUGCCUGGUCACAGAUGUUGGUAAGGUAACCUAAGCCCCUAGUUUGCUAGCUAGUUGAAAUAUUUCUCUCCCAGAUAACCUACUUCCUUGGUUUAGAUAAACAGGCUUCUUAAGAAGGCCUUUAGGGGAUGUCAGAGAUGGAGGAGAUCCCAGUCCCAGGAGCUAACCAGUGGCUUCCAUGCACAUAGACACAGUUAUCUACUCUGUCCACGUGUGACACAAUAUGAGGGUGCUUGCAUUUUCCUUCCUCCUUUGACACCUUCCCAUUUGGGCCAAUGGGAAAGUUAAAGCACAAUCAGGCUAAUGCACUGUGACAUUGGUUAGUAUGCUAGAGCAAGGCUGCCAGAGCCUCAAAGAUGUUGUUAGAAAUAGAACAUUGUUUUUAGCUGGUACAGAUAAAUU